AUAUUCAGUUUAAGCGCUUGAGUUUAAACUCUUUAUUUUUACACUAUACGUCACAGUAUUUUUGCAAUGACCUGUAUAUUUGGCUCCUCCUCCUAACAAGUCAUUCAAUCUCGUUCGCGCAUGCUUAGUAGACUGGGUAUAUAAACCGAGCACGCUUCUGCAAAUUCCUUUUCGAUCCAGUCUCCGAGCUCCAGAAGCUGCCGUGAACUAACACGGAAAAAUAUUGGAGAAAAAAUUAUGUAGCGGUUCUGAACAAACAUGGCAAUAAGACUUCAUUUUUGUGUUUUUUAAAGUAGCCGAAGGUUUUCUUUGAAGAGACUGGUCAACAUUAUGUUUUAGACAAUGGCACCAGAACAGAACACAGAAGUCGGUAGAACCAGCAGAAGUUGUGAUGCCUAAAUAAAAGCUAAUUGUUGAUACAGAUUAACCGAUAGACAGGUGACGUCACUGUUUUUAAAUACAAAUUAUAGUUAAAAUUUAAUCUAAUGCUGUUUGUGACAAAAAUGACAUUAUCAAUUAAAUACACAUAUAUUCCUUGUAUUACAGAAGAGUUCUUCAAAAAUGCAGAAUAUUAACAAAAUGUCGGUAUUUAACAUAAAAUAUUCUUAAAAGCAACUGUAAGAAAAUGUUUUAAACUUGGGCGGAUACCUUGGAGUGAUGGAUUUUUGUAAUUUUGCACAUUAGUAAUUAUCUAUUACUGUAUCAAAUAAUACGAUAAUUAAAAAAAAAAAAAAUAUUUUCAGUACUGUCAUGUCCAAAAAUCUCUUCAGUCGAGUACUUUUAAGUUAUAAGACAUCAAGGACCUUUAAUUCAUAAAAUGACAAUAAUAAUAAAAUAUUGGGGGGGAGACAGGAAAAAGAAAAGUCAAUUAAUGAUUUAAAAUGGGAAAACAUGUGACUAUUGAUACACUUACAUCUAGUCAUCACAAUAUAAUUUAUUCUUUACCUUUUUGAACAUUUCCCCUGUCUUCCAGAGAUGUAAAAUUAUGUCUAUAUUACAAUACAUUCGAGUUAACAUGAACUAGAUAUCACUCUUGGUUUUGCUCUUAAAUAUAGUUUAAAUCUAGGGAAUAUGCCUAUUUGGAUAUUAAAUCUGCAUUCAUCAUUUGCGGGAACAUUAAUUGUAAAUAAACAUUUGCCAUUUUAAUGGGUCGGGUUGCACAAUUUUCAUUUUCAAAGUCAAGCAAUAAUUUCUAAAAUUUUAUAGAUAUCGUUCAAAUGGCAGUAGUUUAAACCUAUGACUUUCUGUCAUUAGGUUAGGAUUUUGGUUUUCUUACAUUAUAACAUGUGACGUUUACUGUAGUUAAGUAUUUACAUAUUAAGUGACUGAAAUCGACGCCGAAAACUAAGCCAUCCGAAUUCCUCAGCAUAAUUUGCACAAAUUCAUGGUCUUGAGUGUGAGCAUCAGUUUUGAGUUUUAUUACUAAAUGCAAAAAAAAAAGAAAAGAAAAAAAGUAAUAAUAAUUAUAUAUAAUAAUACUAAUAAUAAGAAUGACAAUAAUGAUGCAAUGGUAUGGAUGCUAUUGCUCAACGGUUUCGCCGUAUCAAUUUUAAUGAGUUAAGGUUAAAUAAGUUUUUGAAUUUUAUAUUAAAGGCGAUCAUUGGUAAUUAACGGCAUGGCUUAUGGGGAGAAUAGCAUUUCUUGAGAAAUUUUCUUUUAAGAAUUCGUACAAGUGGAAUUGUUGCAUGUAUACAUCUGUUAGGAAACGAUGUGAAAAAUAAAAAUAAUAUAAUUAAUACUGCUGAGAAAUAUGAAAUUGUCAUAUAGACAAAAUAUAUGGAUCCAUGAGGAAUAAAUGAACGUGUGAUGAAAUUUGCUUUCAUCUAAUAUUUGUUUAUCUUAGAAAUAAACACUAAAAUAAAAAAAUAAAAUAAAUAAAAUAAAAAUAAAAAAUAAUAAUAAUAAAAAAAAAAAAAAAAAUAAUAA